rnacentral:rRNA from 1 species
GCGCAACCCUUGUCCUUAGUUACCAGCACGUUAUGGUGGGCACUCUAAGGAGACUGCCGGUGACAAACCGGAGGAAGGUGGGGAUGACGUCAAGUCAUCAUGGCCCUUACGGCCUGGGCUACACACGUGCUACAAUGGUCGGUACAAAGGGUUGCCAAGCCGCGAGGUGGAGCUAAUCCCAUAAAACCGAUCGUAGUCCGGAUCGCAGUCUGCAACUCGACUGCGUGGAGUCGGAAUCGCUAGUAAUCGUGAAUCAGAAUGUCACGGUGAAUACGUUCCCGGGCCUU